rnacentral:rRNA from 1 species
GAUGAACGCUGGCGGUGUGCCUAAUACAUGCAAGUCGAGCGAACAGACGAGGAGCUUACUCCUCUGACGUUAGCGGCGGACGGGUGAGUAACACGUGGAUAACCUACCUAUAAGGCUGGGAUAACUUCGGGAAACCGGAGCUAAUACCGGAUAACAUGUUGAACCGCAUGGUUCAACAGUGAAAGACGGUCUUGCUGUCACUUAUAGAUGGAUCCGCGUCGCAUUAGCUAGUUGGUAAGGUAACGGCUUACCAAGGCAACGAUGCGUAGCCGACCUGAGAGGGUGAUCGGCCACACUGGAACUGAGACACGGUCCAGACUCCUACGGGAGGCAGCAGUAGGGAAUCUUCCGCAAUGGGCGAAAGCCUGACGGAGCAACGCCGCGUGAGUGAAGAAGGUCUUCGGAUCGUAAAACUCUGUUAUUAGGGAAGAACAAAUGUGUAAGUAACUAUGCACGUCUUGACGGUACCUAAUCAGAAAGCCACGGCUAACUACGUG